CCUACGGGAGGCUGCAGUGGGGGAUAUUGCACAAUGGGGGGAACCCUGAUGCAGCGACGCCGCGUGGGUGAAGAAGCGCCUCGGCGCGUAAAGCCCUGUCAGCAGGGAAGAAAAUGACGGUACCUGAAGAAGAAGCCCCGGCUAACUACGUGCCAGCAGCCGCGGUAAUACGUAGGGGGCAAGCGUUAUCCGGAUUUACUGGGUGGAAAGGGGGCGCAGACGGCGAUGCAAGCCAGGCGUGAAAGCCCGGGGCCCAACCCCGGCACUGCUCUUGGAACUGGGUGGCUGGAGUGCAGGAGGGGCAGGCGGAAUGCCUGGUGUAGCGGUGAAAUGCGUAGAGAUCAGGAGGAACACCGGUGGCGAAGGCGGCCUGCUGGACUGCAGCUGACGUUGAGGCCCGAAAGCGUGGGGAGCAAACAGGAUUAGAUACCCCGGUAGUC
rnacentral:rRNA from 1 species